GACGAACGCUGGCGGCGUGCUUAACACAUGCAAGUCGAACGGAAAGGCCCUGCUUUUGUGGGGUGCUCGAGUGGCGAACGGGUGAGUAACACGUGAGUAACCUGCCCUUGACUUUGGGAUAACUUCAGGAAACUGGGGCUAAUACCGGAUAGGAGCUCCUGCUGCAUGGUGGGGGUUGGAAAGUUUCGGCGGUUGGGGAUGGACUCGCGGCUUAUCAGCUUGUUGGUGGGGUAGUGGCUUACCAAGGCUUUGACGGGUAGCCGGCCUGAGAGGGUGACCGGCCACAUUGGGACUGAGAUACGGCCCAGACUCCUACGGGAGGCAGCAGUGGGGAAUAUUGCACAAUGGGCGGAAGCCUGAUGCAGCAACGCCGCGUGCGGGAUGACGGCCUUCGGGUUGUAAACCGCUUUCGCCUGUGACGAAGCGUGAGUGACGGUAAUGGGUAAAGAAGCACCGGCUAACUACGUGCCAGCAGCCGCGGUGAUACGUAGGGUGCGAGCGUUGUCCGGAUUUAUUGGGCGUAAAGGGCUCGUAGGUGGUUGAUCGCGUCGGAAGUGUAAUCUUGGGGCUUAACCCUGGGCGUGCUUUCGAUACGGGUUGACUUGAGGAAGGUAGGGGAGAAUGGAAUUCCUGGUGGAGCGGUGGAAUGCGCAGAUAUCAGGAGGAACACCAGUGGCGAAGGCGGUUCUCUGGGCCUUUCCUGACGCUGAGGAGCGAAAGCGUGGGGAGCGAACAGGCUUAGAUACCCUGGUAGUCCACGCUGUAAACGGUGGGUACUAGGUGUGGGGUCCAUUCCACGGGUUCCGUGCCGUAGCUAACGCUUUAAGUACCCCGCCUGGGGAGUACGGCCGCAAGGCUAAAACUCAAAGGAAUUGACGGGACCCCGCACAAGCGGCGGAGCAUGCGGAUUAAUUCGAUGCAACGCGUAGAACCUUACCUGGGUUUGACAUGGAUCGGGAGCGCUCAGAGAUGGGUGUGCCUCUUUUGGGGUCGGUUCACAGGUGGUGCAUGGCUGUCGUCAGCUCGUGUCGUGAGAUGUUGGGUUAAGUCCCGCAACGAGCGCAACCCUUGUUCACUGUUGCCAGCACGUUAUGGUGGGGACUCAGUGGAGACCGCCGGGGUCAACUCGGAGGAAGGUGGGGAUGACGUCAAGUCAUCAUGCCCCUUAUGUCCAGGGCUUCACGCAUGCUACAAUGGCUGGUACAGAGAGUGGCGAGCCUGUGAGGGUGAGCGAAUCUCGGAAAGCCGGUCUCAGUUCGGAUUGGGGUCUGCAACUCGACCUCAUGAAGUCGGAGUCGCUAGUAAUCGCAGAUCAGCAACGCUGCGGUGAAUACGUUCCCGGGGCU
rnacentral:rRNA from 1 species